UCUUGACUAGUAUAUCGGUUUAGUACAGCCGCUUGUCAUAAAGGAAAGGAAAUCAAUAAGCUAUACGCGGCAGAGCUGGGUUCGACUCCCAGGUCGAGAG